rnacentral:tRNA from 1 species
ACUGGCUGGGUGUUUAGCAUGAUAGUUUUUCGUACUAUAGGAAGUUUUAGAAUUAGUCAGUG